AGUUUUUGCUAUAACCGCUCGGAGUUUCCCCGCGAACGCACGAGGAGACCGGUGUCUCGAGCAGAAUGAAUGGUUAUCAAGGCGCCAGAGAGAGAGGGCGAGAGAGAUGGGGGAGCCGUUAAAAGAAGCAACGCCAGGAGUCGUUGAAGACUGGUUCUUCUGGUGAACUCAUGUUACAGUGCUGAGCUACGAAAGACUGCAAUGGGAGGAAGAAGACGAUAAAGUGUCCUAGGAUGGCUCUGUUGGUACACUGGAUGAGGUGGUAGGCCAAAUCCCUCCCGGACAGCUGACCUCCUCCUACAUCACGGUAAAGGCCAGGUCUUGUGGACACCUAGAUCACUUUGUUACCAAAAGAGUAUGUGUUUGUAUGAGAGCUUGAUUGAUUUGACAAGAGUAGAAUGCAUUCAUUUGGAUAAAAGCCAUCCUUGCAGCUCCUCAUUAACUGAAGAUUACAGAUGUUUUUAUUCAUUUUGCAAGACAACAAUGAAAUGGUGACGUAUGUAUAAUCUGUAAUGUGAUGCCGGUUCUUUUAUUUUCUGAAUGAACUCAGCCUUGGUUAUGUCAGCAGUUUAAGUUGUGUGUAUGAAUCAGGCACAAUAAGAACAGGUGCAUUUAUUAAUAAA